AUGCGCAUGUUGAGAUGGAUGUGUGGCCACACAAGGAAGGACCGGUUUCAGAAUGAUGAUAUACGGGAUAGAGUUGGGGUAGCACCGAUUGAAGAGAAGCUUGUCCAACAUUGCCUGAGAUGGUUUGGGCAUAUUCAACGCAGGACUCCAGAAGCUCCAGUGCAUAGCGGACGGCUAAAGCAUGUUGAUAAUGUCAAGAGAGGUCGGAGUAGACCGAACUUGACAUGGGAGUUCAUAGAGAGAGAUCUGAAGGACUGGAGUAUUACCAAGGAACUAGCAAUAGACAGGGCUGCGUGGAAGCUUGCUAUCCAUGUGCCAGAACCAGGAGUUGGUUGCAAGAUCUUAUGGGUUUCAGCUCUAGCCUACCCCAACUUGUUUGGGACUAAAGGCUUUGUUGCAUAA
rnacentral:rRNA from 1 species